rnacentral:tRNA from 1 species
GUUGGGGUGGCAGAGCUCGGCAAAUGCAAAAGACCUAAGCCCUUUUUACAGAGGUUCAAAUCCUCUCCUUAACU